rnacentral:rRNA from 1 species
AGCAGCCGCGGUAAUUCCAGCUCCAAUAGCGUAUAUUAAAGUUGUUGCAGUUAAAAAGCUCGCAGUUGAAUUUCGGGAUCAGUACGCCGGUCGUGCCUUCGGUAUGCACUGGUGUCACUGGUUUCUCCCUUCUGAAGAACCAUCAUGCCAUUCAGUUGGUGUGGCGGGGAAUCAGGACUGUUACUUUGAAAAAAUUAGAGUGUUUAAAGCAGGCUCGCGCUUGAAUACAUUAGCAUGGAAUAAUGAAAUAGGACGUUUGACCCUAUUUUGUUGGUUUCUAGGAUCGACGUAAUGAUUAAUAGGGAUAGUUGGGGGCAUUAGUAUUCAAUUGUCAGAGGUGAAAUUCUUGGAUUUAUUGAAGACUAACUACUGCGAAAGCAUUUGCCAAGGAUGUUUUCAUUAAUCAAGAACGAAAGUUAGGGGAUCGAAGACGAUCAGAUACCGUCGUAGUCUUAACCAUAAACUAUGCCGACUAGGGAUCGGAUGAUGUUAUUUUUUAAUUGACUC